rnacentral:rRNA from 1 species
GGAUGAACGCUGGCGGCGUGCCUAAUACAUGCAAGUCGAGCGAACAGACGAGGAGCUUGCUCCUCUGACGUUAGCGGCGGACGGGUGAGUAACACGUGGAUAACCUACCUAUAAGACUGGGAUAACUUCGGGAAACCGGAGCUAAUACCGGAUAAUAUAUUGAACCGCAUGGUUCAAUAGUGAAAGGCGGUUUUGCUGUCACUUAUAGAUGGAUCCGCGCCGCAUUAGCUAGUUGGUAAGGUAACGGCUUACCAAGGCAACGAUGCGUAGCCGACCUGAGAGGGUGAUCGGCCACACUGGAACUGAGACACGGUCCAGACUCCUACGGGAGGCAGCAGUAGGGAAUCUUCCGCAAUGGGCGAAAGCUUGACGGAGCAACGCCGCGUGAGUGAUGAAGGUCUUCGGAUCGUAAAACUCUGUUAUUAGGGAAGAACAAAUGUGUAAGUAACUAUGCACGUCUUGACGGUACCUAAUCAGAAAGCCACGGCUAACUACGUG